rnacentral:sRNA from 1 species
GCCCCUUGAUUAAGAAUUCGUGUGUAAU